rnacentral:rRNA from 1 species
GACGAACGCUGGCGGCGUGCUUAACACAUGCAAGUCGAACGGAAAGGCCCUGCUUUUGUGGGGUGCUCGAGUGGCGAACGGGUGAGUAACACGUGAGUAACCUGCCCUUGACUUUGGGAUAACUUCAGGAAACUGGGGCUAAUACCGGAUAGGAGCUCCUGCUGCAUGGUGGGGGUUGGAAAGUUUCGGCGGUUGGGGAUGGACUCGCGGCUUAUCAGCUUGUUGGUGGGGUAGUGGCUUACCAAGGCUUUGACGGGUAGCCGGCCUGGGAGGGUGACCGGCCACAUUGGGACUGCGGUACGGCCCAGACUCCUACGGUGGGCAGCGGUGGGGAGUAUUGCACAAUGGGCGGAAGCCUGAUGCAGCAACGCCGCGGGCGGGAUGACGGCCUUCGGGUUGUAAACCGCUUUCGCCUGUGACGAAGCGUGAGUGACGGUAAUGGGUAAAGAAGCACCGGCUAACUACGUG